GACGAACGCUGGCGGCGUGCUUAACACAUGCAAGUCGAGCGGAAAGGCCACUUUGGUGGUACUCGAGCGGCGAACGGGUGAGUAACACGUGAGUAAUCUGCCCCUGGCUUUGGGAUAGCCACCGGAAACGGUGAUUAAUACCGGAUAUGACCACGUCUCGCAUGGGGUGUGGUGGAAAGUUUUUCGGCCAGGGAUGUGCUCGCGGCCUAUCAGCUUGAUGGUGAGGUAAUGGCUCACCAUGGCUUCGACGGGUAGCCAGCCUGAGAGGGUGACCGGUCACACUGGGACUGAGACACGGCCCAGACUCCUACGGGAGGCAGCAGUGGGGAAUAUUGGACAAUGGGCGGAAGCCUGAUCCAGCAACGCCGCGUGAGGGAUGACGGCCUUCGGGUUGUAAACCUCUUUCAGUACCGACGAAGCGCAAGUGACGGUAGGUACAGAAGAAGCACCGGCCAACUACGUGCCAGCCGCCGCUGUAACAC
rnacentral:rRNA from 1 species